GGCCCUUUAGCUCAGUGGUGAGAGCGAGCGACUCAUAAUCGCCAGGUCGCUGGUUCAAAUCCAGC
rnacentral:tRNA from 1 species